CCUACGGGGGGCAGCAGUGGGGAAUAUUGGACAAUGGGGGGAACCCCGAUCCAGCCAUGCCGCGUGUGUGAAGAAGGCCCUCGGGUUGUAAAGCACUUUCAGUGAGGAAGAACGCCUGGUGGUUAAUACCCAUCAGGAAAGACAUCACUCACAGAAGAAGCACCGGCUAACUCCGUGCCAGCAGCCGCGGUAAUACGGAGGGUGCGAGCGUUAAUCGGAAUUACUGGGCGUAAAGCGCGCGUAGGUGGCUUGAUAAGCCGGUUGUGAAAGCCCCGGGCUCAACCUGGGAACGGCAUCCGGAACUGUCAAGCUAGAGUGCAGGAGAGGAAGGUAGAAUUCCCGGUGUAGCGGUGAAAUGCGUAGAGAUCGGGAGGAAUACCAGUGGUGAAGGCGGCCUUCUGGACUGACACUGACACUGAGGUGCGAAAGCGUGGGUAGCAAACAGGAUUAGAUACCCCAGUAGUC
rnacentral:rRNA from 1 species